rnacentral:rRNA from 1 species
AACGAACGCUGGCGGCGUGCCUAACACAUGCAAGUCGAGCGCGAAAAGGGCAACCUGGGUAGAGCGGCGCACGGGUGCGCAACACGUGGGUAAUCUGCCUUAGAGUCGAGGCUAACCUUCCGCAAGGUUGGCUAAUACUCGGUAAGCUUACGGUGGCUUCUGACGCUGUGUGACAAGUAGGCCUCUGUUUACAAGCUUACGCUCUGAGAUGAGCCCGCGUCCCAUCAGCUAGUUGGCGGUGUAACGGACCAUAAAGGCAACGACGGGUAGGUGGUCUGAGAGUACGAUCAGCCAAACUGGAACUGAGACACGGUCCAGACUCCUAGGGGAGGCAGCAGGGGGGAAUUUUCCACAAUGGGCGAAAGCCUGAUGGAGCAACGCCGCGUGUGUGAUGAAGGUUUUCGGAUCGUAAAGCACUUUCGACCGGGACGAAAAACCUCUGGCUAACAUCCAGGGGCCUGACGGUACCGGGAGAAGAAGCACCGGCUAACUCUGUGCCAGCCGCCGCGGUAA